UGGCUGUAAACAUGGAAAGUGAAAAGGUCAGAAUUGAGGCAUGUAUUCUCAACUAAUUCUGUAGAGCACUCUGAGAGUUUGUAAACAUUUUUCUCACACAAAGAUUUAAUCACACCUCUAUUUUCUUUGCAGAGUUUCMUCCAAUACAGAGAUGUGCUGCUGACUACAGAUGCUGGGGAGAGUCAUUACACUUUAUGAAAAAGGCUUCUUAAAUAGAAGCACAACCAACUCUUCACGGUUCUUGGCCCUUGUACCAACAGAAACAAGCAAGCAACUACUGAAUCAGGCAGAGGAACUGGCCAGAAGAAAUCUGGAUGUCCGGGAACUCCUGUCAGCUUCUCCACUUCAAACGACACCCUCCUACUUAAUCAACAGACCCCAAGCAAAGUGUCACAAUCCUGCUGGAUUAUGCAGCUUAACAGCACUCUUGGGGAUGGGCUGCCUGGCACAACUGAGUUUGCAACAGUUUGGAAGCCACUUGUGCAGAUGCAAUCAUAUCGGUUCUUUCUUUUCCACGUGCAAUGCUUGAUACYUUCCUUUCUGCCACCUGCUGUAAAUAGUUCUGCUGACGUUUCCAGUGCUGGGGUUUAUUACCACAACUCUCCUAUUUACCUAAAAUAAAAAUGAGGCAAUGAUCUCAUAGGAGGAAAACAAAAGGGUCACAUUUCCUCUAGAGUAAGUAAGUAGGUCAGUGCCUUGAGACGUGAUGGGAGAGGAUCCCAUGAUGCCCACGGGGUGAGUAGGAAGGCUGGACAGGCAGUGGUGCUGCCUGAGGGAGAGCUCAGGUGGACCUCGGCACUGGCCCUCCUGCUGGCAGGCAGCAAAGAUGUGUGUGAAAGCAUUUCACUGUGCAACCAGUCAGAGCAUCACUUCCACCAACACUGCAAGUCCAACAAGACCCUGAUCUCUGCCAGCCUCAUGCUCAGGAGGAAGCCUGUGGGGCAGGAGRGCUGUUGCCUCACUCCCAGCUCUGGACAGGGAGUCAAGAGACCAGGCUGCCUUGCUUUGUGAGCAUCUGGACAUUGCGUACCCUUGCUCCUUCCUCAUUUGUAUAAUAGGGUUAAURAACAUGCUCUAUCCCACAGUGCUGACGUAACGCUAAGCUCUUUCAUGUUUGUUAAAUGCUACAAUAGCCAGCACCAUAGAAACUCAUAAAUAAAGUACCUUGAAGUUCUGUCAAGGUAUUAACCUUGUUUUAAAAGUGCAGAUUUACAUGAGUURCUGCACACAAGAAGCUUCUCCUAAUUAGGAUCAAAACUUAAUUUUUUUAGCUUUGUUUUUGUGGCCUUUAAGGAUGAACAUUUUUUACUUGCCCAGCUUAUUUGGCAAUUUAUUGUAAUCUCUUCAAACUUGCAGCUCUUUUCAGGACAUAGUUAAAUGCCUUUCUUCUCAUUGUUKCAUUCCUUUGCAUUCUUCACAAUUAAAUAUCUUUAGGGGUUUUAAACAAAUGUAUAGUUGGUUUCUCCAAAGUCUAAAUCCAUCUAUGUUAUCAUACUUCGUUGUUGGUGUGAGUGACACUGGGUUUGGCUCAAAACCUUGAYGGAAAAGAAAGGACCUGUGUGCUGCUUCUGAUAGAACAGAGGCCCUUUUUUCCAUUUCACACCUUGCCUCAAGAUUUGUCCAAGAUUUGUCCACAACUGAUAAAGUACCAAAGUAGCAAGGAGAGUGUCUGCACAAGAUGUACAGAGAAAAUUAUUCUGCCCUAAUGAUCU